GAUGAACGCUGGCGGCGUGCUUAACACAUGCAAGUCGAACGGUGGAGGCGGAGCUUGCUCUGCUGGAUCAGUGGCGAACGGGUGAGUAACACGUGAGCAAUCUGCCCCUGACUCUGGGAUAAGCGCUGGAAACGGCGUCUAAUACUGGAUACGAGCUGCGAAGGCAUCUUCAGCAGCUGGAAAGAACUUCGGUCAGGGAUGAGCUCGCGGCCUAUCAGCUUGUUGGUGAGGUAACGGCUCACCAAGGCGUCGACGGGUAGCCGGCCUGAGAGGGUGACCGGCCACACUGGGACUGAGACACGGCCCAGACUCCUACGGGAGGCAGCAGUGGGGAAUAUUGCACAAUGGGCGAAAGCCUGAUGCAGCAACGCCGCGUGAGGGACGACGGCCUUCGGGUUGUAAACCUCUUUUAGCAGGGAAGAAGCGAAAGUGACGGUACCUGCAGAAAAAGCGCCGGCUAACUACGUG
rnacentral:rRNA from 1 species